GGGUAUGAUGUCAUAUUCAUCUCCUCCUGAUUUAGAAUUAAUAAGUACUUUGAAAGUUCAAGAAUUACAAGAAAUAAUAGUAAAAAGAUGAAAAACAAACAAGAAACAAUUCAAUCCAAAUCUUCUUAUAAGUUGACUAUGAUAUGUGCAAGAUCUUCUUAUUAUUCUACAAUUUCUAGUUCGCUAGUUCAGCUAUCAGAGGAUAUUGAUUUUCUGUAUAAUGAUUUAAAAAGCACUCAGAAAUAUAAUCUAUCUAAGAAAGAGUUAUGUAAUCUUCAACAGAUAUUGCUUUCAGGUUUUUACACUCUAUCUCCGCUAAGGCUCAGGAGAAUAAGUAGGGAUGAUCUACUAGAAUUUUUAUUUGCAACGCUACCUGAUUUUCCUGACUUAACGUUUUAUCCAAGCAGAGAUAGUUCACACUAUAUAGUUGUUUUUCCAUCAAAAAAAGAGGAUGUCUUGGUGUUCAUGGCAUUGAGUAUCCAUUUCUAUCGUUUGACUUAUGGUUAUGUGCCCAAGGAGAAUUACAGAUUAUUAGAUAGGUUAGGUCUCUUUUAUUCUGGUAUUCAAAACAUGGGUAAGGUGAGUAGACUGUACCAGAUUAACAUGGAUCCAUCAUUACAACUGAUUCCUGAGAGUCUGGUUUUAGAUGGUGUUAAGUCCUUUGUUGGGGCAGAUUCGGUUUGUUAUAAGCUGGUUAGUAGCUUUCUAAAUCUCGAGACCUUUGAUGAGGAUGGUAGAAAGAUAUGCUUCGGUUGUAUGCCAAUUGUUGGAGAAAUCAAUAGGGUCUUAUUCAAUCUUACCUUAAUGGAGUUCGACCGGCAGUUCAGCCAUAAAUAUCCAGGGAUUGCAUUUGAAAGAUUCAUAGGUAUGGUCUUUAUAGCAUGUACUGAUGAUCUAAGAAUCGAUGAAUAUCAAGUAUUUGAUAUGAUACAAGAUCUCGGGCUGUCUUGUUCAAUCGAGUAUAAAGAACCAGGGCUAGAGCCUCUCUAUUGUCGCAAUAGGAUGGUUGCUCUGGACUAUGAGGGUAAGGUUGUCGUGUACAAUCCUACAGAUUACUAUCCUACAGAUUAUGGUUAGUAGGGAGGUUGACAACAAUUUAAGAUAGGGAAAAAACAUGCCGGUGCAUUUCCAUAGUUUAUUUACUAGCAGGAGAGAGGAAGAGUCGCUAUCUAUCUAUCCAUAUACGUAUCAACAAAUGUGGAUCGGUCGAUUGCCCCUAACCAGCAGCGGCAAGGAGGAGAAGACUCUAGAGGUUUGUCCCAAGUCAUGCGAACACUCGCUGUAAUCAUGCCCUACCCGAUGACAACUCAAGAUUGGCAAGCAUGUCCAUCCGACUACUCAUGGAAGCUUUGAACUUCUCCAUGCGAAGUGGGUCUCCUUCACUUUACUAGAAGUUUUUUGAUGCACGAGGAAUUCUCUGAGAAAGGAUUGGUAAGUAAGCAUUCAGUGUGAUUGGGGAUAGGUUGGCACUGAGAAUCGUCCCUUACCAGUGCUAUCAAGAAUAAGGAUCUUCUAUGAGAAAUCCAUGAGAGUGACUGCCAACAUGAAUGAGUAGUACGAUCAACUGUUCUUCUGAGAAGUGGGCAACUCAUGGAGUUUAGGGAUUGCAUGCUUGGGAUUACAACGAGAUAUCAGGACUUUUAUGCAGUUCAUUGAGUCUCCACUUUCUUGUACUAGCUGACUAAAGGCGAGCUACUUUUGAAUUCUCUAAUUAACUAAGCUCUAUCCAUAGAUAGUGUUCCCCACUGUAAAGAAAUGCUAGCCCAUGAAUGAGGAUCUAUUUCCUUGGAGUCUUUGCCUUUAAUAGUUUAUAAUAUGAUCUUACCAAUUUGAAAGCGAGCUAGCGAAGUACCUCUUAGGAAAGCAGGUUAUAACAAGCCAGUUGAAAAGUAUUCUCUUGGGCUGUUUCCCUAGGAAGGAAUAUUGAUAACAGCUGGUGUUUUUCCUGCAAGUUUGAAUGCCAUUAAGAAUUCCCCAGUGCUUAUGCACCAUCUAAAAGUCUCAGCUCCCUGUAUAGUAAAACUAUUAAGGUUACUUCUUUAAUAAGCUUUUUCAAAUUGUAUAAUAGCUAACCAACCGCUUAAAGCGGACUGCAACUGUACUUAUUAGCUUUCCUCCAACGACACUACAGAUGGAAUAGCUUCCCAGGCAUUAGAGGAUAAGCUUGAAUUAGAUUCAAUUAAUAGGGCAUUUGCCCCCUCACUUGAAUAAGCGGCAACCCCUUAGUGGCACAAGCCUCCUUUCUGGAGCUGUAAAGGAACUUCAUUCCCAUCUAUUCGGCUCCUACCCGCUCCGACCAGGGGUUACCAAUUCCUUAUCAAUGGCUUUCUUACAAGAAAAUGUUAUAUCAUGGGCUUGAGGUAUCACCAUAUAGAUUUCCCUAUUUGGUACACAUAGCUUUUCCUAUCUCUCUUUUUAGCAUUCCUUCUCUAUAGCCUGUGUCUAUCUUCUGUCAAUUCAUAUUCUCUAUCUGGUCUAAUCGGCUAAGUCUUCUAUCUCUUUCGAUGUAGUCGAUGUCGGACUAGGAAAGCCAGUAAGGUCAAGUGUAUUGAAGUUCUAACAAUUCACUUACUAAGGAGCAUAACAAGCAAAAUCUAAGGAGCUAUAGUGUUGUUUUAGUUUCAUCCUUAGAUUCUUUCUUUUUAGCAUUCCUUAUUAAUCCUUUUUUAGGGAGAUGUUGAGACUUUCAGGCUAGUAACAAAGUACCUUUCUAGGUGUAAGGAUGCAGGUAAGAGAAUCAAUCUUAGCUGCUGUACAUGUAGUAGCAGCAUCCAGUCUAGCCUUGGUCUAAUUCCUACUUAAAGGAGGGGUCUUAUUCACUGUAUGCGCAUUCCCUGUAUUCUAUGUCCGACUAUUCCACCUGAACCAUAUUAGUCAAGGGAGUAGGGCAGUCUUAGUGAAAUUACCCUGGGGAAGAUCUUAUUAGCUCCUAUUGAUUCUAGGUUAUAUGCCGACAGUUCUAUUGACAGCGUAGGAUUUGACGAUCGUAGUAUGAUUGAUUCCCGACCGGGGAAGACUUCUUAUAUAAUAGAAGGGAAAGCAAGCUAAUUCCAAUGAUUCGAGAUCUGGAUAAUGCAUUGAGCAAAGCUGCUGAAAUAGGACCGCUUGUCAGCCUACUCCUCCAUUUAUAGAUUUCUAUUCUAUAAUAGAAGAAAUAAAGCCUCGAGCUAUUAAUUACUAUGAGAGCUAAGCUACUCUUUUUGCUUAAGAAAGAUGGUCAUAAAACGAGAUCUUUCAUCAGCUAGGCCUGACCUGGUGACAUACUCCAGAUGAGUGGCCAAUCCCUGGAAGAUCCUGAUUCUGAUUCAGUAGUAUGCCAUAUUGGAAUGAAAGGAAAGUAAGCUGCUUCACGACCCUUUCACUUUAUUAGCUUUUAGGCCAUGCAGAAGGAGCUAGCUCGACCAUUUACUGAGCUCUUUUCGAAAUGGUAAGACUUUCCUGCUAUAUGAGAAUGAACUCAUUUCAAAUGCUUCGCCUCUCUCCCAUUGUUCCUUCCUCCUUCGUGCCCGAUCCGGUCAGUAGGCGUCAGUGAAGUGAAUGCUGUAUGCUAAGAGGGGAAAUGCCGACAUCUAGCACAUAGAAGAGCGGAUUCGCUUCCUAUUCCGAUGAGAUGUCAGUUCCUUUCGUGCAACCUGCUCUUGCAUAUGCCUCUUAUUCCUCGUACAAAAAACCUAUUUCAUUGCCUGAAUGGCACCGGCUCGAUAAGGCAGAUCUGUGGGAAGACGUCGAAGCGGGUUUAGAAUCCGCCCCGGGGGAAAUAAUAGGUCAAUCAGGUUCAUCCCUCUUGCCAAUACUAGUAGUCUUAGAAGGAGUUGCAACCUAAAGGGCUAUUCCUGAUCUUUCCUGUGAUUCAAUCGAUUCCUAAGAACUUACCUCUCGCAAGGAACAUCACUUUCGUAUAGUUGAAAAACUCCCUUUUAUUUCAAAAUUGAAUUCGUAACCACUGCUAUCUCAUGGAAUAGGAAUAAGCGCCGCUAGUCUUUCUUUUCUUUUACAGACUCCGAAAUUUACUUCUUUCCAAAGGCUUGGCUAGCUGGAAGGCAAGAGCGCUAUAAGAGGUCUUGAGGGUCGAAGGAUGAAGGUCCGAGGCUACUGGUGGCCAAGCUUCUAAGUACUUAGCCAACGGAUACGAAUUCGAAAAAACGGUCAAUCUCCGAAAGGCCUUUGCAGAGCUUUAGGGGGAAUACUUUUGUGGUCUUUCACCUUCUUCCUUUUGACUGGCCAAUAUCUUUGAAUCAGGGCUUUCGCUAUUCCCACAGUCCCUUAGUCCCGUCGGUCUAUCUCAUAUUCGCAGAAGAAGGAACUUGCUUAAUGCCAUGCCGGAAGUGUAAUUAAGUAGGCGGUUGGUCGUAUAAAAGUCUUUGAAGUAAGGUUCAAUGCUAGGUUCAAUGCUUAGCGUUUAGUUAGGAUAUUUUUCAUACGAGUAUGCCCUUAUCCCGUAAGCCUGCCAUCGUUGGAAGCCCCUUCCAUUCGGCCCAAGCUUUCUUUCGAUUACGUCUGCUUCCUAAAAACCUUAGUUAGUCGUUUAGUCAAAGCCGUACGUAUGCCCCUUUCGAAUCGUUCUAUCAUUCGAAGUAGGAGCAGGGGUAGCGGGCAGAGAAUGGUAUAGCGAGUUCAUGUGCUUGCAGUUGGUUUACUACCAUCCCCCUAACCUUUAGUCUCUGUGAAGUGUCUCUCAGGUAUUGGGAGAACAUCAUGCCCCUUAGCUCGCUUGUAUCGGAUCAAGGGGGGAGCUUACUUCACUUGUUUUCUUUAAGUAACAUGCCAGGAAAGCAGCUGAUAAAGAGCGCCAUCACCUUACUUAAGAAAGGGCUUAUGCGAAAGAGAGCACCGCUUACCCGAGAAGAGAAUCCGCUUUCCUUGUUUUUUUGCUUAUUCCUAGCCAGAGAAAUGAAACUAAUCUCGAGAUCCAGAAACCUAUCUAUACGCCUAGCAUUAAGCUAAAGAAAUAUCGUUAGCCCUACUACUUUUAUUGAAAGGAAGAACUUAGGACUUUGGGACUUACCCUAGCAUUCCAAUUGAAACUCAAGGAGAUGGAACUAAACUGGCAAUUUUCCUCUUUCUAGGUGACUAGAGGGAAUGCUACUACAGAUACAGCAACUCAAUCCCGAGAGAAAAGAUUUGUGAGGUAAGGUCUAUAGACUGUAAGGCUGAAGGCUUGAAUGGAAGAGCACUCCUACUUACUUUUGGGAUAAAUCCUAGACACCUUUGACACCUGAUCUCCGGUAGGACUCUUAUUUGAUAGGCAUUAGGGGAUUUUAGGUUUUGGGGUUUCACUUGCAGACCCUGCAUCCAUAAGUCUCCUAUCCUAAGUGUCUUUCUCUGCAUGAAUAAAGUUCUUCGACAGGACCAUCCCGACCGAGGGCUAAUCAUAGAUCUACUAUGGUAUUUUCUUCUUUUCUUGGUUCAAAUCCUUUUCAGGAAGCAUUAUAUUGAGUAACUCCAAGAGUAGAAUCAGCAGCUCACCUCACGUUUUAGGAAGAAAAUGAGGAAUCACACGUAGACGGACCUGAGCAUUCUCCUGCUCUACGGAGCUAGAGUUGGGGCUGCUUGACGCUCUUUUGAUCAAAUGGAAGGAUGGAUGCCAGCCUUUAGCAACUUCGUUCGGUACAUUCCUUCUACCCAGCUCUAUAGAUGAGAGACUACCAAACUUAGAAAGAGGGGUCCCUAGUAUGUGAUUGAGUCAAGUUGUCCAGUGCUUCUGCUGAGAGAAAGAGAGUCUAUUGACUGGCCUACCUACGCCCGUACACAUCCGCAGUUCUUCUCCCAGCGCUGUAAUUUUUUUUGAGCUAGAUCCGGAAAUUGAAAUAGGCUAGAGCUCCCUGUCCUUUUUUCUAAGGCUUUUUUGAUCGAACUAGGAAUCAUACAUUAGCUGAAUGACUCGACAACCAGGUAUUUCACUAACAUGCACAUAAGCUACCUAUAUUCUAUAUAACAUCCCAUCUCGUUUCAUUGCCCCUGCAUCCCGAAAAGAUAGACUUCCUACUGGAUGUCAUACUAACUUGCAAGCUGUCAGCCUAGAGGGGAGGGCUCAUAAGUCAACUAGCAGAGGGUGAAGGUGUACACUGCUGGUAAACCCUCUCUCUUUCUUCUCUAGGAUCGAAGCUCAACUUGAAUGAAAAGGGUAUAGCUUCAAGCUUUUACCAGGUAAUCAUUCCUUCUUAGAAGAGUUUAAGCGCACUGGAUCUCAACUCCUACACUGUCUCGCACAAAGAUGUACUCCAUCCAACUGAGCCAAUAGAAGCGGUUAGAGCCGUUGGCUGAUAAUGGAGCAGGGAACAGUCAUCACGAAAAGGUAUCGAACAGUGGAAAUACCUAUCGGAGCACACUUUAGUAUGAGUACUUGUCGCGAACUGGAUUCGAACCAGCACCUCUGGGAGCAAAAGACAGGCCCAGCGAACUACCAUUCAUUCUGAUCGCGACUUUGUUUACCCGGUUCCCCUCGCGGCUAAAGGGUACAUCCGGGGCCGGUCGCAUGGACCUACUUACCUUGCUUGUAGACCAGCUGCAGAGCUAACCCUUGUUCUAUUGGUUUGAUGCUACCAAGACGAUUUCUUUAUGCCCAUCAAAGGACCUCGAGAUGCUAAUCCACGAAAAACGAGACGAGAAAUUCGAAAGAAAAGAACUGAUAUACGGAACGAGGGCGACCCGUGGAAAUACAUCGGUUUCUUACUAGUGCAAAGGAACUCUUUCUUGGCAACUUGGACAACUUCUAACGAUGUUUGUCCCGCAUAUCACUAGAUCGAUCGGUAUCUUUACAAAUUUCUAAAGCUUUCGUCUCAAUUCAUACUUAGCCGCGAGCAAUCUACGUUUGUGAUCUCGUAUAUUUUGCUUCUCCGACAUCUUACUGACUUUCCCCCUCAUCUUUUUGAAAAAAGCCGCUCCACGGUGGUAAAGUCUCAUCUUGUGUGUUGGCCGAAGUUACAAUAGUGACAUUGAACCCUCGAAUAUGUUCGAAGAUCUCGAAAUGAUCUUCCAGUUCCGGGGAGAAUUCGCAAAACUCCAUUUCCAUCAAGAAUUGAAUGGACUUUUCCCGUAUUUCGACCGGAAAAUCUAACAGAGACAUUACUGCGGAGAUUCUUACCAAAAAAUGAGACAUUCCAUGCCCUCGGAGAGUGCUUUGCCGUGCUAGGUCACUGACAUAUCCUUUUUUGUCUUGAUUUUUUCCCAAGAAUGGAUUGGAUCGAAACUCCUUUCCUGUCGAAGCCCUUUGUGUCUGUAUUAAUUUCUGACCGCACGGAAUCUCCAUAGCCAAUUUUCCAUUUUUUAUUAUGAAAUCAGAGGGUGCUGCCUUUGGUACUACUCUUAUUUUACACGAUCCAGGAACUUCCAUAACGUUGGCGUGAUUCGGUUUGAGCAACGGAUCCUGACGUGAUACAUCUUCGUAAUGAAAAUUGAGUGUAAACAUUCUUUUUUUUUCUUUCCCAGUAUCGAUAGAAUGAGCACUGUGAACUAUCUGCUUCAAAAAAGAUAGUUGUAAAAACAUCAGAGCAAUAUAUCGUAGUGUAGAACAGAUUUUCAGUAAUGGGGAUCACAUUAGUAGGAAUAUAGGCCAGUCUCCAGCUUCUAUCCUUUUCAUUUUUGUAGUGAAAGCAAUAACAAUAGGAUUUCAAUGAUCUUCUUUACUUAGGUUUUAUACUGACAUAUCAAUUUUUUUUCUGCUAGCAUAUCAUCCGCAAAGACAUUCCUCAAGCAUAGAAUAUCAGGAUUUGAGCCCUUGAACUGACUUCUCGAACCCUUACAUUCUAGAAACUCUGAUGGCAGUGAUUCAACCAUCAUUGAACAGCUUUGAACCAGUUUGACAUUCGAUGAAGACCGAGCCAGACAUUGGAUGCUGCCCUAGCUGCAAGAACUCAAUUAGCCUUGAAUAUCAUAUGAUGAGACGUUCUGACUGCAUCAAAAAAUACUAGAAGAAAAAAACCAACACACUCCGCCAGCAUCAACCUAAGUGUGGAAGGCGCCAUUACCCUGGACCCAGCAGUUCUUAGACGACCACCUCCAUCCUUGAGAGGAUUCCCAGCAUAUCCGGGAACUCUCGAUGGAGACAGGCAUUGAAUUAGAGCCAACUCGGCCAAAUUCGUGGAUUUUCUAUGGAGAAGCAGUGGUUCAUGGAUGAAUUUAAGGCCACACCCAUGUGACAUACUUCCAUUUACACGAGGAGUAUUUUCUAUAUAAAAAAUCCCAUGUCCGAUAGUGCCUUUACCCUAGUCAGAAUAAGAAAAAAGGAUCCCUCUAGUAUAAUCACUAGAGACAGGCGCUAGUUAUUCUCCCGGCUGAGUAUAUUUAUCUACGACAUUUGGCGUAAGAUUCUACUCUUUUCAAUGACAAAUUGUCUAUGCUACUUGAAAGGGAGAACCUGUGGCUGGAUUGAAUCCAAUGCCCCGCAAACCUAAGGGUUCCUCCCUCAUAGCACAGUCCUAUGGCUUCUUAGAGAAGGGUAAAGGCACUCAUAGCAAGAUGAAAAACAGCAAACAGAAGACUCUAAUCACUGGAAGGAAGCUAGGCAAGAGCCAUUCAAAGCUUCGAGUUACCUCAGCUUGAGAGCGCUAGAUAGAAGGAGUUCAAAUGCAUUCGAUCCCCUAUAUAGAUCCAAAAGAGAAGACGCAAAGAUGCUCUUAUCAUCUGUACCGCCUUUUGCAUCUUCCUUGAAGGUUCUAGCAGAUGAAGACGGAAGACAUCGAUCUAGUUAUCUUUGUCUCUAUCCUCUUUCUAAAGAUAGAUAAGCAAGGUUUUUCUCACUACUGGCAAGAAGCCUUAAGAGAAGAAGCUCUUUCUAGUGGAAGAGGCUGGGCAAGCACAUCAAAGGCUGGGUUUUUAGUAGUUCAGGGUAGCCGAGAGCCCAGUAGAGAACUUUUAUCUGACUAGGAGCAGCUAAGCCCCUACCUAUAUAGUCAAGAGGGAUGGAGCCCCGAAAGAAGUAAGGCUAGUCGAUUUCCAAGAUUUUAGUAGCUCAGGAAAGGUUCCCGAGAUUGGAGUGGGUCUAUUAGCACUGGGACAGACCAGUUAGAAGAAUCCUUAUGAGGCUCAAAGAUCUUGAAAAAAAAAGAACGAGUGAGGACGUGUCCAAUCUGAACCAAGCUCAAAGCUAAAAAAGAAUAAGGAAACACACUCUUUGUCGGAACAAGGAAGAACUGUUGACGUCAAACCAGCUUUUCCGCUCUUUCCCUCUCUUCUUUAGGGAUUAGGGUGGUGUGCUCUUCUGAGUGGGUGUGUGUUGUGCCAGAAGGCAUGCGUAUAGUAUAGAAAGAUUCUCAUCCAAGGACACCGGAAUAAGGGUUUAAUGACCUAAGUCUGGCUGCUAGAGAUGAAUCGAUGUACUUACCUUACCAGCCUCAUACAUCUUCCCUGGUCCCUGCUCAUUGCAAGGAGGAACGAAGGACUUUUGAUGCUGUCCCAGAGCCGGCUUGGAGGGAUCCCGAUAUCGAUAUGCUCUGCCGGAAUAUACAGAUAAAAUAUGGAUCGGAUCAUGGCCCGGAUACACUCGUCCCUUCUUUCUCCGUCUAGAUGCCCAGAGAGGAUGAAACAAAAAAGGUUGAGAUUCGCCGUUCAUUGUCUCGGUUCGGCUCAGACUGGUCUGACUUCGGGGUUGGGAGAGAUCGGAAAUAAGCUGCCGUAGGCUUGGAUGGAGCUAUUUAUGGUGAAGAGGAAUGAGAUGAAAGUGUUCUGCAUGGUUGUUCCGCACUUUUGUCUAAUUCAGUUCCAUCAGGGGUUCUUUUGUUAAUUUGAUGCAGAUUCGUAACCAUUGGUUCCAGGGAAAGAGGGAUCACUAGCGGAGGUAGGCUCGCACUUAGAUGUUCAAUACCCGCUGUGCCCCAACCAAAUUCAGGUGAAUGAGCUGGUCGUUUCUUGGUUUUCCCCAUCCUAUGAGUCAAGAUUGGAGGGGAUCUACCUAUUGAAGAUGCAACUUCUCCGGAUGGUGGUUCUUCCCCGCUAGAAUGGGAUUUGUCGGUGCUAGGUGGAAUCCUUUGAUUGAAGGUCAAGAAAUGAAUACAAUUGAGGUGUGGAUUCAAGUAGUUAGUUCGCACUAGCUCGUACCACCUUGAAUUGCAGUCGGCCUUGAAGGCUAGUAACUAGGAUCAAGGACUAGGAAGGGAAGCUCUUCUUGUCCAACCGGUCGGGUUGCAGGACUGGUUGUUAGCGGAGAAGCCCAGGGAGAAAGAUAGCUUAUUAGAGCAUUGGAGGUCGACGAAUUCGUCUAUCAGGCAAUCUAUCCUUAGCCUAAAGGCCCGUUAAAGCUCUAAGGUGCAGUGUGACCGGAGCGGUUGUAGAGUUUUGAAAUGGGAUUAGAGGCGACGCCUGAGUAUGAGGAGAUCGCACUGGAUAUGGCUACUCUUUACGGCAAAGGGGGCAUUGUCCAUAAGAUAAGAUAAGACUGCCUAGAACUUCCUAUUAUUGCUUCUAAGUGAAAGGUUUCCAGCAACAAUAUACUGAAUACAUUCAGACUCAUUACCUUUCUUAGGUCUCAUUGAGACUCCCUUUUAGAAAGAGAAAUGAACAAGAACUUAACUCAUCCGGAAACGUGAUUCUAUAUCCUGUAAGCAUCUGACAAGAUCAAAAACCCUUUAUCCUCUCGACGAGUGUCAGCUCCUUCCAGGUACGCUGGUUGGCUAGUGUUAUGAAAUAAAGAAGUCAAAGUAGAGCAAGUCCCACCUACCAGGUUAGCGGAGAGUGACUCACCUACCUGUUCUGAAGGAGGACUUACACGAGUAGUGGAAAGUACGAUGCUAGGCGUGGAAGAGCUUUUUGUAUGCCUUCUGAGAUAAGAGCCUUCACAGCGGAGGUGAAAGCAAGAUAGAAUCGGGCUUGAUUCCCCUUCUAUGGGACAGUAGACAGGCUAGCUACUGGUGAGAAGCGAUCUAUCAAUCCCUUCUCUUUAGGGCUUGGUAUUGGAAAAGACCUCCUCUCAGAAUUCUUCAUGCGGCUAUGGCAGAUAACGGGCACUCUCAAUCCAAUAAGAAAAGUUCUAAAGCUCUUCGCCAUACCUCUAUCUCCAACAGACAUUCAUUAUGGCAAGGCGUACUGAUUCGAUCACUUCCUGUAAAGACUUUCCUGUUCUUAUGAAAGACAGCCGUAUGUUAGGAAGAAUUCAAUCUCAAGCUCAAGACUUUACAAGGGGAAGGUAGCUGGUAAGCCCUUUUAGUCGAUCUAGGCAUAACACUUUCACCACUCUUAGGCAAGCGACUAAAGCAAGCCGAAAUGUGCCGUUCAUUCUAGUAGCUUAGACCUUUGUUGAGCCUCCUUACCUUAGAAGGACAGUCAAAAGCCGGUGCGUUGGUUAACGGCUUCCGAAGUGACUAAUCGUAGCCAACUUAUUCAAGAUCUAUACUUUCUCUUAUUAGAAAGAAUAUGUAUAUUAUUGCGGAGAUGAAAGAAGUAGACGAAAAACUAGAGAUGAGAGAAGCGAGCCCUGAAAGAGAAGGAGAGGAAGGAAACUAAGGGCUAACCCGACACCAACCCAAUAGAGCUAGCCAGCAAGCUCAGGCUAAGAGAUGGGUCAAUCUCCAUGCCCUUAUCUUCUUCAAGCCCUUAAGGCUAAGAAGUCAACUAGCGGUCUAGGAAGGCUAAGAAGGCAACUAGCUGCUUAGCCGAACUCCUCACCUGGGGUGACGAUAUUCUGAUUCAAGCUCUGAACCAAAGCUAAUUCUUUUCUUCCUUUAAGCGUCAAACUUCAUAUUUGAAGGCUUUUCCACUGCAAAAAAAAAACACUUGAAUUAGAUCUACGAAAUGAUCGACUCAAAUAGAUGGUCAUCAUAAUCUCUUUCUUUUCCUCCUCUUCCAGUUCUAUUAAUCAAAAGGCCAUCAUGGACCAAGAUCCAAAGGGAUCAAUCUUUUACACCGAUGUAUCAUACUCUCUCGACCAGGUUAUCAUAAGAAAAGACUGCAAAAUCUUUCCGAAGUGUUAUAAAGAGGGAAGGCGCGCUACAACUAACAUAACAACCUCUUCCUUGCCCCCCUAAGAAUCCAAGGGUGACCUUUGGAUGUUGUCGUGACGCUUUGGUUACGAAGGUUAUCGGGGUCUAGGUUUAUGGAUGGAUUCCGUAAUCGAAAGUCCCUCCAACUCAAUCAAUAUCAACAACAUGUCGUGACCGGUUAGGCUUGGUUGAUUUUGUCAGAAAAGAAAGUAGGUUUCGGGGGUUCAUUGAUUAGUACACCCCCGGUGCUGGUAAGGUCGGGACCGUGGUCGUACGUCUCCGGUUUGCCGGCCUAUCUUCUUUCUGAGAUUGACCAGCCAGCUGGGUUGGUUUGGCUAUUCUUUUCUAUUGAAAAGGAGUCAGUUGUCUGCGCGAGUCAUCUUCUUCUAGGCUCCGUUGGACGACACGGCAUUCUUGUUUCAAUAAAUAGAUGUCGGCCGUACUUGUGAUGGUUCCCAAGGAUCCAAUAUGACCACUUCACUUAGGUCUACGUUGCCACGAUAUUUUUCUAUGGAAGCGGGCAGGCUGUUAGAAGUUCGGCCCGCUUUUUUUUUUGUCGUAGGGGAGGGAUUGACCUUUCUAACGCAU
rnacentral:lncRNA from 1 species